GCUCAUUUAAGCUGCAUUAGUGAACACAGAAAAUGGUACCCCAAUCUAUUAUUCUGCUAUUUGUCUUUACCUGUACCACAUAUGGAAAUGAAAUCAGACCAACUAAAACUGAGGAGUUUGCUGUUGAGGGUUCAAGUGUUACAUUAUCCUGCAGUUAUUCAUCUGCACGUUCUUUAUUCUGGUACCGUCAGUAUCCCGGGUCAGCUCCUGAAUUCCUUGUAACCAUCACAUAUAGUGCAACAGAAGCUAAGAAGUCUGAUGUAGAUCCCAGAUUCACUGCUAAACCCAACAAAGAAAAGCAAAACCAUGUGGAUCUGGAGAUCUCCUCUGCUAAAAUGACAGACUCUGCUUUGUACUACUGUGCCCUGACGCCCACAGUGACAGGAAACACAAAACCACUGUACAAAAACCUGACACAUCUGAGAAGACAAAUCUGUUUAUAGGAGGACAUUUAUAAGAGAAUACUUAAAUAUCUUUGAAAAUGAGUCAAUAUGUUUCAUACUACACACUAAAAACUUUAAGUGUUGAGCACAUGUGUACAGUUUGAGAAAUCAAAAAUAUUUAGUUACAGUAUAUAUUAAGUUGCAAAAACAAUAUUAAAUGUAUAAAAAUAUAAUUAAAUAAUAUUAUAUUCCCUGCAAUUUUAAGGACAGCAUACAAUACUGAGCUGCUAUGAUACAAUCAACAAAACUGUGCUCUUUAUAAAAUAUCAAAACAUUAAUUACACUCAUAAUAAUAAAAAUAACCCUAAUCAUCAAAAAUCAAUUUUCUGACAUAUUACACCCAUCCAUAGUGCAUGU